GGGCUUUACUUCCUCUUUAAAAGCUCAACUAAUGCAAAUUUGAAUGAUGGGUAUGGUGUUUUUGAUAUUGACUACUCUUUCCUUUAGUGUUGUGAAGAACUGUCAUACUUAGUCAACUUUCUUCCACUUAUUUUUGAAAGCUGUAACUUUUUCUACAUCAUACGCUAUGUUCUCAUUAUCGCUUGCUUUGUUCCUUGUCAGAAGCCGCACUGAUAAUCCCAUGAAGCACAUAGACUGUCAUCCAGAUGGAUCCACACCUUAUUUUCUUACUGUCGUGUCAUAUAUUCUUCUUGUACAAUACGGAUUGAUUAUAAUUACAGGAGGCUUCCUACAACGUGUAUUUUCUCACUAAAAGGGCUCUUGCUAAUUGCUGUCUCUGACAGGGGAGGAAUUGUUUACCGUUCCCUUAAGGACUGGCGAGAUAAAUUUGUAAUUUUAAUGAGUUUUAGUUAAGUGUGCUCAUCCCAUUAGAAAAGCAAAGCUGGACUCCAGUCAAAUAUAAUCGCAUAAAUGUUUUGUUUUUUUUACGGUACCUGAAUUUGACCUGGUAGCAGCUGCUUGUAGUCCCUGUACAGCAAAGCUUAGACUAGGAGAGAGGAGAAGAAGCACAAAGAGCCAAUCAGUGACUCACCUGUUGAUGGUAUCCCGCUCAUCAGUCCUGCUUACUUAAGCCGUCCAGCCCAGAUCUUCUUUGCCUUCGCCUGGUCAACAUCACAGAGACUCUCCCCUCUGUGCCUGUUAAAGACUAGCUUGGCUGACAUCCCUUCUGGUUCCAGAUCCUGCUUGCUGUUCCACUACGCUGAAUCUCUGGUUUCCUGAUAUCCGGGCCUCUUCUGAAGUACGCUGAUCCCUGGCUUUCUGACUUCCUGGCAUGUCUGACAAUCGGUUCAGGUUACCAAACUUUGGCUACAUUUUGACUAUGUUUGUUCUAUUUACUUUUAUUAUUAUUAAACAAGUGUGAUUUAACUGUA